UGGAGCAAAGAAAACCUAACCAGAGCCAAGCACCGUCACUGCCUUAUUAACUCAGUUGUUCUUCCAACCCCAUUAUUGAAUGAGGAAGUAACCGUGCGAAGGCAAAGUUGUAGAAUGGUUGAGCAGAAACGGUGAGUUCUGCUUCAAGGACCGUAGUGAGGCUGAUAGUGGAUGACCUACUCAAUUGAUGGUAGAGGUAAUAACACAUCAACGCUCACAACCGCAACCAACGGGGGUGGUUGCAUCUUCAGAUGCUGCCGGGAAGAAGACCGCGAGUGACGUUCAGGGGGGACUAGCUAGCGCGACGACGUUCACGCUGCACUGGUGACUCAGUUCGCCUAGAGAGAAACGGCUCGUUCCGGCGUGAGCAGUUAGAUAUGAGGACAACAGAACCAGGAAACCAAGUGACUGGGCCGGCGGCAACUUACCAGGAGAGGAUGACAUGUGACGAAGUCCAUGUGAAGGCACGCUUCCCAUCUUCGGAAUGGCAUUUCAACUGAUUGGGAGAUCGAGGGGGAGUGUUGGCCAGAGUAGCAGUGACGGUGGUGAAGACCCAGGCGAAAGCUCGAAGACAUGAGAGGAGAAAGCUCCGAGAUAGGGAAGGAGAGGCGAGACGACAGCCUCACGUUGAGCACUUGGGUUUUCCAAAACGACAACGUAAUGAAAUUCUUUGCAAAAUAUCAAUUAACCUGGCCCCACCAACCCUCCGUUCUUCAUUUCUAUAACGGGCUACACUUUCUGCAUCACCAACCCAUCAUUAUUCCAACAAUACUAACAGGGACACAAAGGCCCGCACUAAACAAAACUUAAUAUUACACAACCACAGAUUGCUACAACUUCCCUUCUGUUAGUAUGGGCCAGGUUGUUUUUGUUGGAUCGGGUCAGCUUUAAAAACCAUGUCCCACCCCCAUUUGAUUACCUGAAUAUCAUUAGUCAUAAUCUAGCGCAGCCAUCGUAGAAGAUUGGUGGGCUUGGGUUGUGGUUCAGGAUAAGAUUGCGUUAUCUUAUCGGAAGACGAAAAGAACAUAAUGGAUGAAUGUAGAAGGUUCCAAGUAACGAUGAAAGAUAAUAAAAACCCUAACCCCAAUUCAAGACAAUCAGAAUCAGAGACGUCCUCUGCAUCUUUUGUAUCAUGCCUUGUUGUUUGCUACCUAAGUCGUGGGGCUUAUCUUCUCCCAUUCAGAGGCUGAGAGAGAUGCAUGCCGAUGGAUCUGAAAGUCGGUUGUAUUAGGUGGAUGAAAUCAUGAGUGUUGAUGUCAGCGAUUACUGAUCGAGUGUGCAGUGUGGUGGGACAAGUGUAGGAAGCAUACCCAGACGUUGGAAAAAAUAUUACUGCCGAAUGUAUGGGAUGAGAGAUUCGGAUGCAAAACCAAUAUUGUUCUGCCAUAGGCCAUUCAGUUGGUGUGUAUCAAUUGGCGAGGUAUACUUUCCUGCAAUGGAGGCGCUUCUUGUAUGGCCUAGUUAAUUGUAAAUGUUGACGAGGAGUAGGUAUGGUCAGAAUUAACAUUUUGCGUCUGAACUUGUUAUGGAGUGAAAAUUUUAUUUUGAAACGCAAUCCUAUUUAGUAGAUUUGUAAAAGAAGACACAGUACUUAGGACCCAUUUAAAUUUCCAUGUCUCGUGUUCAAAAAAAAAUGUUAGCUAGAUGUGGACAGACCUGAUACUACUAAGUAGCUAUUCAGUUUUGUUAGUCGAUUGUAAUGAAUUAAACGAGCACGUGUUGUCGAACAGAAUAGGUGGCAUAAAUUUUGAUAAAAGAAUUAUUGUAAUGGAAUUUGAAAACUUGAAUAUUGUUGGACCUACCAGCUGGGGAUGGAAUAGAAGUAAAAUGGAGGAAGAGAGAAGAUUUUAGCGUUUGUUUGAAUGAAUGUCGUUACGGAGUUUUAUAGUUAUCGGAGUUAAAGCAAGAUUAUUUCGUUGUUUUUGAGUAUAACGGGGAAUUUAAAUUUAAAUACCCGGUGAUUCAUUUGAGUGACUCCGAGAUUGAUUAUUCAAGUUUGAUAAGUUUCCAUGAAGAUGACCGCCGUAUGGGAAAAAAAUUUUCUAUUCAUAUGAUGGUCAUCAAUAUGGAAACCUCUGAAACUCGAGUAAUCAAUUUCGGAAGCAGUGGAACGAAUCGCCGAGGAUUUAAAUUUAGAUUCUCCUUUGUACUUAAAUGCCACGAGAAACUCUUGCUUUAGUUCCGAUAACUCUACAACUCUGUCUCGGGCUUUGUUCAUUCAAACACUAUCAUUUUCUUUCAUGCUCCAUUUUACUUCUAUUUCAUCCCCGUUGGUAGCUCCAACAAUAUUCGUUUCCGCAGGCUUUUCGAAAAUAUCUGUUAAAAAAAAGUCGAUGCUACCUCGUGAUGUUGGCAACACGUUCUAUGAUGAUGGUUGUUAGUACGAUAUCCAAUAGGAAUGCAGGUAAUUGAAACUGAUCUGAUUUAUAAUCUAUUUUUCCGUCGAAGUAUUACGCAAUAGAAAUUAAAAAAUGCAGUAACUUUUGUUAAUGUGCACGUCUUUGUUGCUGACUUCAUGAGGAGGAGGCACACAAGCGGGGAUAACAACAGGCUGCGUGCGCACAUUACGUUGAUGGAACAGAGGAGGAAGAAUACCAAGGUGGUUGUUGACAGAAGUUCUCCAUUCAUCAGAGAAUGUUGAAUCUAUAAAAGAAAUGUAGGUUUGCUGCAAAUGUAACAACCGGGUUGUGCUGAAUUUAUAUGGUAUUUAGACUUCGCUUCAAGGAAGAAAUACAGUCUCAAUCGGAUGUAUGAAUGUUAACAAUCUAACCAGCAUUCAAGUGAACUAGUAUUUUUACUUGGAGAUUUCUUGUCCAUCAUGCCAUUCCUUUUCCUCAUCUCCAUUUCAUCAAGUCUAGUUUUCUACUUCCUAGUAGGGCUGACAGAUGAAUUCAACUUCUUAAUGUACUUUCUGCUCUACAUUUUCAUGUCUUUUAGCAAGUGAAGCAAUUAUGUAUCUCAUGGAAGUUGUUUAUCGUUUUCGUGUGUUCAUUUUAUUAUGCAGAAAAUCAUCUCUGCUUAUUAGUUGUAGGUGUCAAAUAGUAGGUACCGAAUUUAGUAGUUUAUUUCGCCUACUUGCAUCGUUGCAUUGUACAAUUAAAUUCUUGUUGAUGCCUUUUGCAUUUCCUAUAUCAGUUUUGAGUUUAUCAUGAAUUUUUG